CGGGGGGAGCAAGCGUUGUUCGGAUUUACUGGGCGUAAAGGGCGCGUAGGCGGUCAGCACAAGUCAGUUGUGAAAUCCCCGAGCUUAACUCGGAAAGGUCAACUGAUACUGUGCGACUAGAGUGCAGAAGGGGCAACUGGAAUUCUCGGUGUAGCGGUGAAAUGCGUAGAUAUCGAGAGGAACACCUGCGGCGAAGGCGGGUUGCUGGGCUGACACUGACGCUGAGGCGCGAAAGCUAGGGGAGCGAACGGGAUUAGAUACCCCGGUAGUCCUAGCCUUAAACGAUGAAUGCUUGGUGUCUGGGGUUAUAUAGUCCCCGGGUGCCGUCGCUAACGCUUUAAGCAUUCCGCCUGGGGAGUACGGUCGCAAGACUG
rnacentral:rRNA from 1 species